rnacentral:misc_RNA from 1 species
UCGUAACAAGGUUUCCGUAGGUGAACCUGCGGAUGGAUCAUUACCGAGUGCGGGUCUUUAUGGCCCAACCUCCCACCCGUGACUAUUGUACCUUGUUGCUUCGGCGGGCCCGCCAGCGUUGCUGGCCGCCGGGGGGCGACUCGCCCCCGGGCCCGUGCCCGCCGGAGACCCCAACAUGAACCCUGUUCUGAAAGCUUGCAGUCUGAGUGUGAUUCUUUGCAAUCAGUUAAAACUUUCAACAAUGGAUCUCUUGGUUCCGGCAUCGAUGAAGAACGCAGCGAAAUGCGAUAACUAAUGUGAAUUGCAGAAUUCAGUGAAUCAUCGAGUCUUUGAACGCACAUUGCGCCCCCUGGUAUUCCGGGGGGCAUGCCUGUCCGAGCGUCAUUGCUGCCCUCAAGCCCGGCUUGUGUGUUGGGCCCUCGUCCCCCGGCUCCCGGGGGACGGGCCCGAAAGGCAGCGGCGGCACCGCGUCCGGUCCUCGAGCGUAUGGGGCUUCGUCUUCCGCUCCGUAGGCCCGGCCGGCGCCCGCCGACGCAUUUGUUUGCAACUUGUUUUUUUCCAGGUUGACCUCGGAUCAGGUAGGGAUACCCGCUGAACCUAAGCAUAUCU